rnacentral:tRNA from 1 species
GGCUUUGCAGCUCAGCUGGUAGAGCACUUGCCGCGUUGAGGCAUGGUGUUUCUGUCGCUGGUUCGAAACCAGCCAAAGUCC